rnacentral:rRNA from 1 species
CCCUUAGAUGUUCUGGGCCGCACGCGCGCUACACUGACUGGUGCAACAAGUGUCUGACCUUGGCUCGAGAGGCCUGGGCAACCUUUGAACGCCAGUCGUGCUGGGGAUAGAUUCUUGCAAUUAUUAAUCUUCAACGAGGAAUUCCUAGUAAACGCAAGUCAUCAGCUUGCAUUGAUUACGUCCCUGCCCUUUGUACACACCGCCCGUCGCACCUACCGAUUGAAUGGUCCGGUGAAGCCUCCGGAUUGGCGCGCACCUCGGUGCCGCCGAGAAGUUGGCUAAACCUUACCAUUUAGAGGAAGGUGAAGUCGUANCA